rnacentral:lncRNA from 1 species
UCUACCAUAAUACUCUCCACCUCUAUCUGAUCUCACGAUCUUAAUUUGCUUUCCACAUUGAUGGGUUUUCGAUAUCAUAUCGAGUGAAAUGUAUGGACCAAGUGGGAGAAUGUAAACCUUUGGUAUUUUUAAAUGGUCCAAUCAUCUUCCUCUUUUAUUGGAAGUUAUUCACCUUCUCACCUUCUCAUAACUGUCCAUCUUCCCUACUUUGUGGUAACCGUUCACGUUUCGUAACUUCUUUGAUGGGAAGAAGUAUAUAAAGGGAAUAAAGUGGUAUUGGUCCCCUAGCCGUGACUUUCAUGAAACUACACCAUCGCAGAGAGGUCUUGAAGGCUUGGAAGCACCAAACACAAUUCGAAAUUUUGCAGUUCAAACGACAAUGGCUGGAGGUUAGUUUAUGAUCUUCAGUUUCCGCAUUUGAUCUAUAUGUUGUUGUUUAUUCACAUGAUAGAUCGUGAUAAAGCUCUACAUGUAUUGCACAUUUCAUCGCGUGGGAGAGGUCAGUUGUUCCUUUUUAUUUUUAAUCUCGAUGAUAUUAACUAUAUGCAGUUUCAGCUUCAUUUAUUACACCAGUGUUUGAUUUCCAUUUUUAGUGAAAUACAUUUUUCUCUCUCUUCUUUUCAAUCACAUGUUUUUCAAUAAAAUAAUAUUACACACAAAUCAAAAAAAAAAAUUGUUCUUUUUUAACCACACAUUCUCCUUCAAAAAAAAGGAAUGUGGCUCAAACAUACCCUAUAUAACUUGAUGGUAUUCUUCACUUGUGAUUGUGAAUCUUCUGAUUCUUCACUGUGGUUUUGAAAUCAGUUUAUGUGGAUUCCUCUGUUUUGCUUAUUACUCUCACGUUGCCAUACAUGAAUGUUCAGGGAAACGGAUCUGUUCCUUGUUCCGUAUUUUGCUGACUGUGACUUGGAGUUAGUUCAGUGGCCUCCACUUUUGCUUGCUAGCAAGGUUUUCAUUAUACGUUUUAAGUCAUAACUCUUCCCUUUUGUUGAGGGAGAUUUUGGUUAAUUCCAUUUAAUCCCAAUGUUAACCAUCAAAUAAAAGCAAAUUCACCUCUUCUUUGCCCACCUUUGGCCUCAAUAAAUAUUUGAGGACAUGGUUUAUGGCUUUAAAUUGGUGGUUAAUAGAGUGAUUAAAGGAAGUUGAUAAAAAAUGCUGGAAUAUAACUGAAUCACCAGCAAGUUGGUUAUGUUGACCUAAUAUUUAUUUAUUUAUUUAUUAUUAUUUUUUUUUUUCCAUUACUCCUUGUGGGUUAUGUUGUGGAGUUGAAGGUGUUGAGGUAUACUUAUUUUUAUUUUUUUUGGGUCGUGUUUUAUUCAACUUGACGAGCUUGAGUGGCUCGUAUUUGUAAUAAUGACUUGUUACUAUAUGUGGAACAUAGAAACUGUUCAUUUUUUUAAUUUUUAUAGACAAUGUUUGACUAUCCUUCUCACAGGUCAAUGUAAAUUUUAGCCUGGUUCAGAGAAAGAAUAAAGGGAAUUAUUCUGAGCUUCAUCAAUGGCCACAUGUAUAGAGUUCAGGAUUAUGUUCUUAUUCGAUUUGACUAUGAUAGAUUGAUCCCUUCAAAGCUUCAGGUUGGAAAUUUAUCGAGCGUUUAUGAGAUUUUGGGGGACAAUAAUUUAUUUGAUAAUUUACUAUUGAUUUUCCCCCUUUUUGGCAGUUAGUUUAGUGUAGUUUGUACUAUUUGUUUUGGUUUUGGAGAUAAUUAAGUUUGUAAAUAAUACCUUUGUCACUGUUUAUUUUGGAUCAUUAUAAGUGUUUCGAGAUAAAUUUAUAACACUUAUACAACAUCUUAACAAUUUAUAAUGCCA